rnacentral:rRNA from 1 species
CGACGUGAGUAACCUGCCUUGGAGUGGGGAAUAACACAGUGAAAACUGUGCUAAUACCGCAUAAUGCAUUUGGGUCGCAUGAUUCUGAAUGCCAAAGAUUUAUCGCUCUGAGAUGGACUCGCGUCUGAUUAGCUAGUUGGCGGGGUAACGGCCCACCAAGGCGACGAUCAGUAGCCGGACUGAGAGGUUGGCCGGCCACAUUGGGACUGAGACACGGCCCAA